UGCCCAGCAACUCCUAUCCCGACCUCCUCGCGGUACUGGCCGGGGUACGAGCAACCUUAGGGAAGAUCAGGUAAUCAACCCCGGUGGGAAUUUUAGUCGUAUGCUGAUAGAGAAGG
rnacentral:ribozyme from 1 species